GUUAUACAAUAAAUAUAAAUUAAUAUUUUUGGUUUAAUUGAGUUAAUUUUGAUUUUGAAUUUAAUUUAUUUAUUUUUAGGUGAAAUUUAAAUUUUUGUUAAUUUUGUUAAGGUUCUCUGAAAUAUAUAAUAUAAACUAGGAUUAGAUACCCUAUUAUAAUAUAUCUAAAAUUUAUACCUGGGUAGUAUUAGUUAUGUUCUUUAAACCCAAAGGAUUUGGCGGUGUUUUAGUCUAUUUAGAGGAAUUUGUUCCUUAAUCGAUAGUCCUCGUUGUAUCUUGCUUUUAUUUGUUUAUCAGUAUGUAUACCGCCGUUAUAAGUUUAUUUUAAUAGGAUUAAAAUUUACAUUAUUCUUUUUUUGGAUUUAUUUC
rnacentral:rRNA from 1 species